GGCCAGUGCCCCUGUAAAAUUGCUCCUGGCCCCUGUUGUGGCCCCUGUGCUGAACAGGUAACAAGAUUUAUUAAUUUUGACGUGCGCUGGCUCGAAGAUCGGAACUGACAUGACGGAGUGUUCUACACGGACUCCUUAAAGCGCUACACGCACACUGUUACCUGCAGCAGAAAGACCCGCAGCAGCGCGAAUUGUAAACUUCGGACGUGAGAGAUAACAGCUGCAGCCCUGCAAGGACUAGGCUACUGCAAAGAGGCGAAGUAUAGACCUACUGUAGGCUAUCAUCAUGGAAAGGAGCAAGAAGGACAUUAUAUCCUUUUUUGCCCCUGUUGGCAAAAAGCAACAUAGAGAGAGUAAGGAAGAUGAAGAUUAUGAAAGAGGAGAGAGAGCCAGAGGUGGUGGUUGGAGAGGUGGAAAGUGAGGCAUCUGAAAGGCAAUCUGAGAGUGAGGAUGAAGACAUUCAGGAUCAGAUUGAGGGACAGAAUGAGGGACAACCCAACAAGUCAUUGGGACAACCAGAUUCACCAUGCAUAUCAAGUACAGCACCAUCAGAUAUCAGCAAGUGCUUGGACGACACUCCAGUGCAGCCACGUCUGAAGAAAAGGUUCAUUGUAUGCAAAAAUAGAAAUCUUAUUUUACAAAAAAGAGAAACAUGGUUUUAAGAUUUACUGAGCACAAUUUAUUUUAUGUUUAGGCUAUUGAGACAGAAUGUUUAUC